rnacentral:rRNA from 1 species
UACAGAGGUCUCAAGCGUUGUUCGGAUUCAUUGGGCGUAAAGCGCGCGUAGGCGGCCCGGUAAGUCCGCUGUAAAAGUCAAAGGCUCAACCUUUGAAUGUCAGUGGAUACUGCCGGGCUAGAGUCCGGAAGAGGAGAGUGGAAUUCCUGGUGUAGCGGUGAAAUGCGCAGAUAUCAGGAAGAACACCCGUGGCUAAGGCAGCUUACUGGGCUGUAACUGACGCUGAGGAGCGAAAGCGUGGGGAGCAAACAGG